rnacentral:rRNA from 1 species
UACGAAGGGGGCUAGCGUUGCUCGGAAUUACUGGGCGUAAAGCGCACGUAGGCGGCUUGUUAAGUCGGAGGUGAAAUCCUGGAGCUCAACUCCAGAACUGCCUUCGAUACUGACGAGCUUGAGUUCGGGAGAGGUGAGUGGAACUGCGAGUGUAGAGGUGAAAUUCGUAGAUAUUCGCAAGAACACCAGUGGCGAAGGCGGCUCACUGGCCCGAUACUGACGCUGAUGCACGAAAGCGUGGGGAGCAAACAGG